GUUUAUUUAACGCCAUCAAUGUAAAUAUAACGGAAUUUAUGAGACUGUCAUUAAAGUGAGAGGGUUAGCGCUAUAGAACCAGGUUUAAUCCACCAUUUUCUACAUUUGAAAUGCCUGUCCCAAGUCAGGAAUAUGACAGUUCUUGUCCAUUCGUUUUUGAUACGUUUUGUUAUUUGAUUUUGCCAUGUGAUUAUGGACUUUCCGAAUUGAUUUUCCUCUAAGUUCAGUAUUUUUGUGAUUUUACUUUUUUUGUAAACAACAUAUGAUUAAAUAAUAGAAAUAAAGAACCAAUUGGAGGAUGCUUACGAAUUAGGGUUUUUCGUCCAGUGACAAAUAUCAUGUGCAUAUGAGAAUGACAACACGUUAUAUGCACUGGACAGAUGUACAGUUUUAUAUUUAUUUUACCGGUACCCUGUGUUGUAUUAGAAAGACACUUUCAGUUGGAUUUGAGAACGUGCUACUUUGAACAGACACAAAAAUUGAGGCUGAUUGAAAACAUUAAUAAUAAAUUCAUGCAUAUUCCAGCGGCCAAUUUAUAUCACGCUAUAUUGAAGUGACACCCUUCAAUAAAAUGCAAAGAAAGUCAAAAUAAAAAUGCUCUUACUAGUAAAUCACAACCGAAAUGAAUGACAGACGGACAUUUUGUACAAAACUUAAUGAACAAUUGCAAUCAAGAUAUUUGAGGUUUGCGUUAUAACGCAAAUAUAGGAAGAAAAAUUAAAAAAAAAAUGUGUGGCGCUAAUUCGCUUCCGUAGGAUACUGUUGCACC
rnacentral:lncRNA from 1 species